rnacentral:rRNA from 1 species
AGCAGCCGCGGUAAUUCCAGCUCCAAUAGCGUAUAUUAAAGUUGUUGCAGUUAAAAAGCUCGUAGUUGAAUUUCGGGAUCAAUGGGUUGGUCAUGCCCUCGGUAUGUACUGAUUUCAUUGGUUCUCACCUUCUAAGGAAUCAUGAUGUCAUUCGUUUGAUGUUGUGGGGAAUUAGGGCUGUUACCUUGAAAAAAUUAGAGUGUUUAAAGCAGGCUAACGCUUGAAUACAUUAGCAUGGAAUAAUGAAAUAGGACAUCCGAUUCUAUUUUGUUGGUUUCUAGGAUCGAUGUAAUGAUUAAUAGGGAUAGUUGGGGGCAUUAGUAUUCAAUUGUCAGAGGUGAAAUUCUUGGAUUUAUUGAAGACUAACUACUGCGAAAGCAAUUUGCCAAGGAUGUUUUCAUUAAUCAAAGAACGAAAGUUAGGGGAUCGAAGACGAUCAGAUACCGUCGUAGUCUUAAACCAUAAAACUAUGCCGACUACGGGAUCGGAUGAUGCUUAUUUUUUAAUGACUA